rnacentral:rRNA from 1 species
GAUGAACGCUGGCGGUGUGCCUAACACAUGCAAGUCGAACGAUGAAGCCCAGCUUGCUGGGUGGAUUAGUUGCGAACGGGUGAGUAACACGGGAGUAACCUGCCCUCGACUCUGGCGUAGGGCUGGAAAACUGGGUCCAUUACUGAAUAUCACUUCUCACCUCCGGGUGGGGGGUGGAGAGCUUUAUUGGUUUUGGAUGUACUUGCGGCGUAUUGGCUUGUUGGAGUGGUAAUGGUUCACGAAGACGACGACGGCUAGCCGGCCUGGGAGGGUGACCGGCCACACUGGGACUGAGACACGGCCCAGAGUCCUACGGGAGGCAGCAGUGGGGAAUAUUGCACAGUGGGCGCAAGCCUGAUGCAGCGACGCCGCGUGAGGGAUGACGGCCUUCGGGUUGUAAACCUCUUUCAGUAGGGAAGAAGCGGGAGUGACGGUACCUGAAGAAGAAGCGCCGGCUAACUACGUG